GAUGAACGCUGGCGGCGUGCCUAAUACAUGCAAGUCGAGCGAACGGACGAGAAGCUUGCUUCUCUGAUGUUAGCGGCGGACGGGUGAGUAACACGUGGAUAACCUACCUAUAAGACUGGGAUAACUUCGGGAAACCGGAGCUAAUACCGGAUAAUAUUUUGAACCGCAUGGUUCAAAAGUGAAAGACGGUCUUGCUGUCACUUAUAGAUGGAUCCUCGCUGCAUUAGCUAGUUGGUAAGGUAACGGCUUACCAAGGCAACGAUGCAUAGCCGACCUGAGAGGGUGAUCGGCCACACUGGAACUGAGACACGGUCCAGACUCCUACGGGAGGCAGCAGUAGGGAAUCUUCCGCAAUGGGCGAAAGCCUGACGGAGCAACGCCGCGUGAGUGAUGAAGGUCUUAGGAGCGUAAAACUCUGUUAUUAGGGAAGAAAAGAUGUGUAAGUAACUGUGCACAUCUUGACGGUACCUAAUCAGAAAGCCACGGCUAACUACGGG
rnacentral:rRNA from 1 species